rnacentral:lncRNA from 1 species
AUGGCCGUCAUCUCCUUUUGCUCCUGCUCCUCCCAGAGCGCACAAAGCAAGGGGCGAGAUGCAGCCGGGCAGCCCACCCCCCCCAGCCGACAGAGCAGCCCCUUUUUAUCCCCGCAGCCCCCUCCCCGGAGCAGGAGCAGCAGCCCCCCAGCCCCGCCGCUCACCCCCUUGCCCAUGGUGCGGGGCGGCGGCGUGCGGACCACGCGGCAGGCGACAAGGAGCGGCUGCUCGCUCUCUCCCUGCUGUCCCCCUCCUUGUCGUCGUCGUCGUUGUUCUUCGCUCGCCCACCUCCGGCACCGAGAGGGGAAGACAGCCUGCUGCUGUCUUCUUCUUUUUGUUAACAUCGGAUGCGCGCUCCCUGAAGCCAUACAUCCAGCAUCUGGCAUCGCCACCCCCAGCACGCCAGCACUUCAUCAUCUGGAAGCAGGGGACACCGCUGGCGAUGUGCGUGGAGGUAAUUCUUGUGCCGAGCGAGGUGCUGGUGUCUCUCCUCCAUCUGCUCCCCUCCUCACCGCAGCGAUCGUCUCGGGCGGCUGGAAGGUCUCUGGCUGCUUUCCAGCGGUUCGGAUUCAGGAUCUCCUCCCUUACUCUGAGGCUCUUCUGCGGGUUUGUAUUGUGUUAAGUUUCAGGAAGCACAAGGAAAACGAAGAUCUUCCUAUGCCAGGCUCCUGCCCUAAGCUGCUUAGUCUCCAGGGAACAGAGAGCAGACAAAGGGGGAGGAAGAGGGCAUAA